rnacentral:rRNA from 1 species
AAAUUGAAGAGUUUGAUCAUGGCUCAGAUUGAACGCUGGCGGCAGGCCUAACACAUGCAAGUCGAACGGUAACAGAAAGCAGCUUGCUGCUUUGCUGACGAGUGGCGGACGGGUGAGUAAUGUCUGGGAAACUGCCCGAUGGAGGGGGAUAACUACUGGAAACGGUAGCUAAUACCGCAUAACGUCGCAAGACCAAAGAGGGGGACCUUCGGGCCUCUUGCCAUCGGAUGUGCCCAGAUGGGAUUAGCUAGUAGGUGGGGUAACGGCUCACCUAGGCGACGAUCCCUAGCUGGUCUGAGAGGAUGACCAGCCACACUGGAACUGAGACACGGUCCAGACUCCUACGGGAGGCAGCAGUGGGGAAUAUUGCACAAUGGGCGCAAGCCUGAUGCAGCCAUGCCGCGUGUAUGAAGAAGGCCUUCGGGUUGUAAAGUACUUUCAGCGGGGAGGAAGGGAGUAAAGUUAAUACCUUUGCUCAUUGACGUUACCCGCAGAAGAAGCACCGGCUAACUCCGUGCCAGCAGCCGCGGUAAUACGGAGGGUGCAAGCGUUAAUCGGAAUUACUGGGCGUAAAGCGCACGCAGGCGGUUUGUUAAGUCAGAUGUGAAAUCCCCGGGCUCAACCUGGGAACUGCAUCUGAUACUGGCAAGC